rnacentral:rRNA from 1 species
GACGAACGCUGGCGGCGUGCUUAACACAUGCAAGUCGAACGGUAAGGCCCUUCGGGGUACACGAGUGGCGAACGGGUGAGUAACACGUGGGUGAUCUGCCCUGCACUUCGGGAUAAGCCUGGGAAACUGGGUCUAAUACCGGAUAGGACUCCGGACUGCAUGGUCUGGGGUGGAAAGCUUUUGCGGUGUGGGAUGGGCCCGCGGCCUAUCAGACUGUUGGUGGGGUGAUGGCCUACCAAGGCGACGACGGGUAGCCGGCCUGAGAGGGUGACCGGCCACACUGGGACUGAGAUACGGCCCAGACUCCUGCGGGAGGAAGCAGUGGGGAAUAUCGCACAAUGGGCGCAAGCCUGAUGCAGCGACGCCGCGUGAGGGAUGACGGCCUUCGGGUUGUAAACCUCUUUCAGCAUCGACGAAGCGAAAGUGACGGUAGGUGCAGAAGAAGGACCGGCCAACUACGUGCCAGCAGCCGCGGUAA